rnacentral:misc_RNA from 1 species
UACGUAGGGGGCAAGCGUUGUCCGGAAUUAUUGGGCGUAAAGCGCGCGCAGGCGGCCUUUUAAGUCUGAUGUGAAAUCUUGCGGCUUAACCGCAAGCGGUCAUUGAAAACUGGAGGGCUUGAGUACAGAAGAGGAGAGCGGAAUUCCACGUGUAGCGGUGAAAUGCGUAGAGAUGUGGAGGAACACCAGUGGCGAAGGCGACUUUCUGGUCUGUAACUGACGCUGAGGCGCGAAAGCGUGGGGAGCAAACAGG